AUGUGUAUAGAGGUUGUAGCAGGAUGCAAUUAUGACCAUCAGCUAGAAGACUGAUGUGCUAAUUAGCAUAGCUUUUUAACAGCAAAUUGGCGAUUUGGGGCUUAAAUUAGUUUGGGGAUUUGAGGCGCACGUCACGAGUUAAAUCCUACUGUGAACCAAGUCUGGUAUUUAAGUGGAGAAGAGUAGGAGGAUGGACCAUAUCCACGAGUAUCGAAGUAGGAAACAACGGAUUUCCUGGUUAUAGAAAAAGUUAGUUGGAGUCUUUGAGUUAAAGAAGUGAACUGAUGAACAUUGGUUCAGCUAUAUGAAAGGCAGAUUUCUUUUUCUUUUUUCCUUUGUUAUUUCAUUAUCCAAUUCCGGGUGAGUUUGAGGCCUCCGGUGCCUUUAAUUUGAUAUUGACCUGUAUAUAAGUAUGUACGGCAGAUGUUAGAAAAGAAAUCCCCAAUAAUAUAAAGCAUGAAAGAGUUAUAUGUAAAGCUUCAUCUAUUGUGGCCAAGCGAAACUAUGCAAUUGCGAGAGAGGAUCGAUGCUCUACUUGAAACAGCAUAAUGAAUAAUGGUUAGUUGCUGUAGCAGUGUGUUCUACUUUAAAAGGAAGGGAACUAAAAUGAAACAACAUUUGAUAUUCAGUGAGAUCUGCAUAAAAGAAAAAAAGGACCUAGAAAAUCUGCAAUCCUGUACUGUAAGAGUGAAAUCUUCAGACCAUUAUUGCCUUGGUUUGUAAUAUAACAUUUGUUCAAGCUAAACUUGAACUACUUUUGAUCUGGGACUGGAUAUUGAACUAGAAAAGCUAUUGUUUUCUGGUUUUUGUGGUGUGAUUGGUUAAACUAUCAGUCCAACUGGUCCUUUAUGCAUUGCAGGAAUAAUUUGAUGUGGAACUAGUAAUUAUAUAAGCUUAUAUAUCUUCCGCGUACACACAAUAAGUGAAUGCAAUAUAAUUGUGCUGAAAUCUUAGCUUCUACAACAAAAUAUCACUUUAAUCUGAGGUAUUUCUCUAGAUCUAAUGCUACAAACAGUUUCUGGUGGAAGCCGUAUUAGAAACCAUAACCUAAAAUCAUGUAUUCCCGAUAACCUAUCAAUUUGAAUAAUAUAAGUAUUUGAUUUGGUUAUUAUGGAAUCUUUUUGACUUGAGUUUUUAUGACUAUUUGAUUAUCGAGAUAUGUUACUUUAGCGGCUUGUUUGAUUUAUUCAUAUGUUAGGAAACAAAGAUGUAGUUCCAAUCAACUUUGUUGCAGUGUGCAAUAGGUACUUAUCUUGGUUGAGGUGUCAAAAUGAAAACUGGAGUCAACUUUGACGGGCCGUAUAUCUAUUUUGCCUAGUUUCUUUCUCUCUGAACAUACAUGUAUGUAUAUCCAUAAAGCCAUGCUGUUGCUUUUCCUCUACCUUUCCCCUCUUUAGGUGAGUCACUAAGGAACAUAACUUAGAAAAUCCUGAGACUCAUUUUUCUUUAUCCAAUUAAAUGAUGAUGUUGAACAUUCUCUUUAUUAUUGCAAUACUUCUUAAAAAGACUAUCGACCUGUUUAGUCAAGGUCAACUUCUUGUUUGCUUAGAAUGAUAUGCUUUCUUCUUCAAUGAAACAGAAAGAAGUGAACUGAUGAACAUUGGUUCAGCUAUAUGAAAGGCAGAUUUCUUUUUCUUUUUUCCUUUGUUAUUUCAUUAUCCAAUUCCGGGUGAGUUUGAGGCCUCCGGUGCCUUUAAUUUGAUAUUGACCUGUAUAUAAGUAUGUACGGCAGAUGUUAGAAAAGAAAUCCCCAAUAAUAUAAAGCAUGAAAGAGUUAUAUGUAAAGCUUCAUCUAUUGUGGCCAAGCGAAACUAUGCAAUUGCGAGAGAGGAUCGAUGCUCUACUUGAAACAGCAUAAUGAAUAAUGGUUAGUUGCUGUAGCAGUGUUCUACUUUAAAAAGAAGGGAACUAAAAAUGAAACAACAUUUGAUAUUCAGUGAGAUCUGCAUAAAAGAAAAAAAGGACCUAGAAAAUCUGCAAUCCAGUACUGUAAGAGUUAAAUCUUCAGACCAUUAUUGCCUUGGUUUGUAAUAUAACAUUUGUUCAAGCUAAACUUGAACUUCUUUUGAUCUGGGACUGGAUAUUGAACUAGAAAAACUAUUGUUUUCUGGUUUUUGUGGUGUGAUUGGUUAAACUAUCAGUCCAACUGGUCCUUUAUGCAUUGCAGGAAUAAUUUGAUGUGGAACUAGUAAUUAUAUAAGCUUAUAUAUCUUCCGCGUACACACAAUAAGUGAAUGCAAUAUAAUUGUGCUGAAAUCUUAGCUUCUACAACAAAAUAUCACUUUAAUCUGAGGUAUUUCUCUAGAUCUAAUGCUACAAACAGUUUCUGGUGGAAGCCGUAUUAGAAACCAUAACCUAAAAUCAUGUAUUCCCGAUAACCUAUCAAUUUGAAUAAUAUAAGUAUUUGAUUUGGUUAUUAUGGAAUCUUUUUGACUUGAGUUUUUAUGACUAUUUGAUUAUCGAGAUAUGUUACUUUAGCGGCUUGUUUGAUUUAUUCAUAUGUUGGGAAGCAAAGAUGUAGUUCCAAUCAACUUUGUUGCAGUGUGCAAUAGGUACUUAUCUUAGUUGAGGUGUCAAAAUGAAAACUGGAGUCAACUUUGACGGGCCGUAUAUCUAUUUUGCCUAGUUUCUUUCUCUCUGAACAUACAUGUAUGUAUAUCCAUAAAGCCAUGCUGUUGCUUUUCCUCU
rnacentral:lncRNA from 1 species